CAGGCCUAACACAUGCAAGUCGAGCGGGGAAGGUUGCUUCGGUAACUGACCUAGCGGCGGACGGGUGAGUAAUGCUUAGGAAUCUGCCAUUUAGUGGGGGACAACAUUCCGAAAGGAAUGCUAAUACCGCAUACGUCCUACGGGAGAAAGCAGGGGAUCUUCGGACCUUGCGCUAAAUGAUGAGCCUAAGUCGGAUUAGCUAGUUGGUGGGGUAAAGGCCUACCAAGGCGACGAUCUGUAGCGGGUCUGAGAGGAUGAUCCGCCACACUGGGACUGAGACACGGCCCAGACUCCUACGGGAGGCAGCAGUGGGGAAUAUUGGACAAUGGGCGCAAGCCUGAUCCAGCCAUGCCGCGUGUGUGAAGAAGGCCUUUUGGUUGUAAAGCACUUUAAGCGAGGAGGAGGCUCUCUUAGUUAAUACCUAAGAUGAGUGGACGUUACUCGCAGAAUAAGCACCGGCUAACUCUGUGCCAGCAGCCGCGGUAAU
rnacentral:rRNA from 1 species